rnacentral:rRNA from 1 species
GAUGAACGCUGGCGGCGUGCCUAAUACAUGCAAGUCGAGCGAACAGACGAGGAGCUUGUUCCACUGACGUUAGCGGCGGACGGGUGAGUAACACGUGGAUAACCUACCUUUAAGACUGGGAUAACUUCGGGAAACCGAAGCUAAUACCGGAUAAUAUCUUUAACCGCAUGGUUCAAUAGUGAAAGACGGUUUUGCUGUCACUUAUAGAUAGAUCCGCGUCGCAUUAGCUAGUUGGUAAGGUAACGGCCUACAAAGGCAACGAUGCGUGGCCGACCUGAGAGGGUGAUCGCCCACACUGGAACUGAGACACGCUCCAGACUCCUACGGGAGGCAGCAUUAGGGAAUCUUCCGCAAUGGGGGAAGGCCGGACGGAGCAACGCCGCGUGGGGGAGGAAGGUCUUCGGAUCGUAAAACCUGGUUAUUAGGGAAGAACAAAUGUGUAAUUAACUAUGCACGUCGUGACGGUACCUAAUCAGAAAGCCACGGCUAACUACGUG